UACGAAGGGGGGCUAGCGUUGCUCGGAAUCACUGGGCGUAAAGGGUGCGUAGGCGGGUCUUUUAAGUCAGGGGUGAAAUCCUGGAGCUCAACUCCAGAACUGCCUUUGAUACUGAAGAUCUUGAGUUCGGGGGGAGGUGAGUGGAACUGCGAGUGUAGAGGUGAAAUUCGUAGAUAUUCGCAAGAACACCAGUGGCGAAGGCGGCUCACUGGCCCGAUACUGACGCUGAGGCACGAAAAGCGUGGGGGAGCAAACAGG
rnacentral:rRNA from 1 species